rnacentral:rRNA from 1 species
GAGUUUGAUCCUGGCUCAGAACGAACGCUGGCGGCGUGUUUAAGACAUGCAAGUCGCACGGUGUCAUUUUUGGUAGCAAUACUUGGAUGGCAUAGUGGCGCACGGGUGAGUAACACGUGAAUUACAUGCCCUAUAGAGGGGGAUAGCCCAGGGAAACUUGGAUUAAUACCCCAUGGUCUCGCAAGAGUAAAAGGUGGCCGCAAGGCUGUCGCUAUAGGAUUGGUUCGCGCCCUAUCAGCUUGUUGGUGGGGUAACGGCUCACCAAGGCUACGACGGGUACCUGGUCUGAGAGGACGAUCAGGCACACUGGAACUGAGACACGGUCCAGACACCUACGGGU